rnacentral:rRNA from 1 species
UACGUAGGGCGCAAGCGUUGUCCGGAAUUAUUGGGCGUAAGAGCUCGUAGGCGGUUUGUCGCGUCUGCUGUGAAAACCUAAGGCUCAACCUUGGGCUUGCAGUGGGUACGGGCAGACUAGAGUGCGGUAGGGGUGACUGGAAUUCCUGGUGUAGCGGUGGAAUGCGCAGAUAUCAGGAGGAACACCGAUGGCGAAGGCAGGUCACUGGGCCGC